GCAGUCAUCAGCUGCGUGAUACGUCCUGCCCUUGUACACACCGCCGUCGCUCUACCGAUGAGUGAUCCGUGAGCUGUCCGGACUGCGAUAGUUCAGUUCUGUCUCUCGCGGGAAGUUCUGCAAACUUAUCACUAGAGGAAGGAGAAGUCGUAACAAGGUUUCCGUAGGUGAACUGCGGAAGGAUCAUUC
rnacentral:ncRNA from 1 species